rfam:Desulfotomaculum sp. 46_296 MPI_scaffold_55, whole genome shotgun sequence.
CUGUUUAAACAAAAUGAGCUAUUGACAGUUGGUGUCGUAAAGACCUAAAGGUGAAGAACCGCCAACCGAGGCCUAAAAUCUUAGUAUGUUUUCUAUUGGAAACGGCAGGCCUCUGGUUAAAUCAGAGGCUUUUUAAUUUGAAAA